rnacentral:rRNA from 1 species
AUUGAACGCUGGCGGCAGGCCUAACACAUGCAAGUCGAACGGUAACAGGAAGAAGCUUGCUUCUUUGCUGACGAGUGGCGGACGGGUGAGUAAUGUCUGGGAAACUGCCUGAUGGAGGGGGAUAACUACUGGAAACGGUAGCUAAUACCGCAUAACGUCGCAAGACCAAAGAGGGGGACCUUCGUGCCUCUUGCCAUCGGAUGUGCCCAGAUGGGAUUAGCUAGUAGGGGGGGUAACGGCUCACCUAGGCGACGAUCCCUAGCUGGUCUGAGAGGAUGACCAGCAACACUGGAACUGGGAUACGGUCCAGACUCCUACGGGAGGCAGCAGUGGGGAAUAUUGCACAAUGGGCGGAAGCCUGAUGCAGCCAUGCCGCGUGUAUGAAGAAGGCCUUCGGGUUGUAAAGUACUUUCAGCGGGGAGGAAGGGAGUAAAGUUAAUACCUUUGCUCAUUGACGUAACCCGCAGAAGAAGCACCGGCUAACUCCGU